rnacentral:hammerhead_ribozyme from 1 species
AUUCAUCUGACGAGUCUUAAAUAGGACGAAAUGUGCAUAUCGGAU